GUCCCGGGAAACGUCACGAAAUAUCGUACUUCGCGUACCAUUUAUCGUAGCAUUUCGUAGCAUUUUUCAAAAAAAUUCAUAGAACGACUUGAAGAGAGUGGCAGAAUGCUGUCAAGAAGUUUUCGAGCAGUACUUUUUGAAGUUUGUUUUGACGAUGUAGGGAACGAAUCCAUCAGUCUUUGCUGAGUGAUGAGGAUGAAUCCUACGAAGGAUAUCAAGUAGCAGCUGGCCUUCGCACGGGUACCUUCAGUGUGUCCAGUAUUUACGUGGGCGGCUUAUCUGUGCAAGGACUCGGACAUGCAACGCUACUGCCAACAUGAGGUGGCAGUAGCUCAGCAACUCUGGUCACUGGACAAGCACCCUGCAAACGUGGAGCUGUUCAUAGUUCACUUUCGGCAGGCAAUAAUAAAUUGUGAGCAGCAGCAGACGUUGUUUUUCAAGAACAAGGCCUUAGGAAAAUUAAGGAGAGGAGAGUGCACGAAUGUCUCAAAUGUGUGGACUGAUUUACUUCGCAAUUCGUCAACCAUUUUCCAAGAGCUAGACACCAGUUCUGCAAGUACAGGUGUCAGAGUGUCCGGUGCACUAUUUGCCCUUCUUCUUGAUUUCACUAUGAAUAGGAAGCCUGCGUCAGCAGCCACAGCUCCGAGCAACCCUAUGCACAUGGAGGUUGCUCGCCGCACCAUGGAUCAAGCGGCUAACUCGGUUGUGAAGUACCACGGGGGGUGGUGCAUAGUUGCAGUGCUUUGCUAUUGCUCAACACGCUAGGACUGCAUAAGUACACACCAACAUCCCAAAAACACAAUGCAUUGAAACCACUUGAAACCACUCCUGCUAUAUAAUUUGUUUACUUUUUGGGUGAGGAGCAAUUGGCGUUGGGCAGGCAGACUUCGCAGCCGCACCCAAGUCGUCGCUCUUCCUCUUCUGUCCACGGGUUCUGGGGGUUAAAAAAGCAACAAAGCAAGCAGGCCUGGCCUCAUUCAUGCAGUCUGAUCUCGAUGCAUGUCAAACAUGGGGCAGGAACAAUGGAGGUGAAUUCUCAGCAAGCAAGACAUCCGUGCUGUGCCAUAGAGCUAUCAAUGAUACACCUACUGCAGGAAUCCAAUACCAAAUGUACAAUGAGCCAUUAACGGUGGUUUCUGACCUGCAACAUCUUGGCAUCACCUUGACCGACAACCUGGAUUUCCGCAAACAUGUCGCCUCAAUAACUUCGAAGUUCAGAUAUCGAGUGCACCUACUGUCAAUUAUGUCCCAGCAACUUACGCCUUCGGCAAUGAUCAUACUGUACAAAGGGUUCGUAAGACCUGUGAUCGAAUAUAGCUGUACGGUGUGGUCGUUUGGAUCUAAUAAGAAACCCAUGACCACUCUUGAUCAAUUACAGGCAAGGUUUGCUAGAGCUCUACUGAAAAAGAAAAAAAUUGCAUUUGAUUACACUUCUUCCAAAUCUGUCUUAAAUUCUAAAUGCUCCCUAGAGUCACUAGCCUAUCGUCGUCAAAUCAUCAGUCUCACUACUUUUCACAGAUAUGUUUUCCAUCAUCGUGAUUACCUUGCUGAUUUCCAUUUCAAGAUUACGAAUAGUGAGCGACGACCAAAUAAAAUCAUUCUUCCCAAAUUUAAAUCAUUGUCUAAGUCUCUCUUCAUGUUCCGAACUGCUAUUCUAUGGAACUGUUUACCCCCCAGUCUAACAUCGGAAGCCUCGCUCUAUAAGUUCAAAGCUGCCCUCAGGAAAUUUACAGCUGACUAUGCUUAUGCAAUCAACGGAAUUCCGCCACCUUGCAGUUGAUCUUCCCCAUUUCUCUCCUCAUCAAUCCCUACUUCUCUUUGUACAUACAUCUACAUCUACUGUUCUUUCAAUCAAAUGAACCCCUCGAUAGGCACAUUGCCUUUGGGUCAUUUCAUAAUAAUAAUAAUAAUAAUA